rnacentral:rRNA from 1 species
UACGUAGGGUGCGAGCGUUAAUCGGAAUUACUGGGCGUAAAGCGUGCGCAGGCGGUUGGUUAAGUCUGAUGUGAAAGCCCCGGGCUCAACCUGGGAAUGGCAUUGGAAACUGGCCAGCUGGAGUGUGGCAGAGGGGGUGGAAUUCCGCGUGUAGCAGUGAAAUGCGUAGAGAUGCGGAGGAACACCGAUGGCGAAGGCAGCCCCCUGGGCCAACACUGACGCUCAGGCACGAAAGCGUGGGGAGCAAACAGG